GGCCUAACACAUGCAAGUCGAGCGGUAGAGAGAAGCUUGCUUCUCUUGAGAGCGGCGGACGGGUGAGUAAUGCCUAGGAAUCUGCCUGGUAGUGGGGGAUAACGUUCGGAAACGGACGCUAAUACCGCAUACGUCCUACGGGAGAAAGCAGGGGACCUUCGGGCCUUGCGCUAUCAGAUGAGCCUAGGUCGGAUUAGCUAGUUGGUGAGGUAAUGGCUCACCAAGGCUACGAUCCGUAACUGGUCUGAGAGGAUGAUCAGUCACACUGGAACUGAGACACGGUCCAGACUCCUACGGGAGGCAGCAGUGGGGAAUAUUGGACAAUGGGCGAAAGCCUGAUCCAGCCAUGCCGCGUGUGUGAAGAAGGUCUUCGGAUUGUAAAGCACUUUAAGUUGGGAGGAAGGGCAGUUACCUAAUACGUGAUUGUCUUGACGUUACCGACAGAAUAAG
rnacentral:rRNA from 1 species